UCCGUAGGUGAACCUGCGGAAGGAUCAUUACCUGGCCUUGGGCCGCUCGCGGGAGCUAGUCGCUUGCGACGACGCUACCGAGGGCGCUUAGCCCUUGACUAUCACCUUGACUACGUGCACCUUUUGUUGUUUCCUCGGCAGGUCACCUGCCGCCAGGAACCCCCUAAACCUUUUGCAAUAGCAUCCAAACUUCUGAAAACAAACCAAAUUAUUUACAACUUUUAACAAUGGAUCUCUUGGUUCUGGCAUCGAUGAAGAACGCAGCGAAAUGCGAUAAGUAGUGUGAAUUGCAGAAUUCAGUGAAUCAUCGAAUCUUUGAACGCACAUUGCGCCCCAUGGUAUUCCGUGGGGCAUGCCUGUUCGAGCGUCAUUUACCCCCUCAAGCUCCGCUUGGUGUUGGGCGUCUGUCCCGCUUCGCGCGCGGACUCGCCCCAAAGGUAUUGGCGGCCGGUACCGUGGCUUCGAGCGCAGCAAAUUAGCGACCUCAUCGCCUUUCGGUAGCUGGCUCCCAGAAGCCAUCUUUCAUGUUUUGACCUCGGAUCAGGUAGGGAUACCCGCUGAACUUAA
rnacentral:rRNA from 1 species